AGGGGUGACUGGUGACAGAGUGAGGGGGUGACUAGUGACAUUGUGAGGGAGGGAGUGGGUGACUAGUGACAGAGUGAGGAACGGGGUGACACAGUGACAGAGUGAGGGAGAGGGUGACUAUUGACAGAGUGAAGGAGGUGGUGACUGUCACUAGUCACCCCAUCCCUCCCUCUGUCACUAAUCACCACCUCCCUCACUCUGUCACUAGUCACCCCCUCCCUCGGUCACUAGUCACCCCCUCCCUCUCUCUUUCACUAGUCACAACCUCCCUCACUCUGUCACUCUGUCACUCUGUCACUAGAGUGA